rnacentral:rRNA from 1 species
AUACAGAGGGUGCGAGCGUUAAUCGGAAUUACUGGGCGUAAAGCGCGCGUAGGCGGCUUAUUAAGUCAGAUGUGAAAUCCCCGGGCUCAACCUGGGAACUGCAUUUAAAACUGGCGAACUAGAGUUGAGUAGAGGGGAGUGGAAUUUCAGGUGUAGCGGUGAAAUGCGUAGAGAUCUGAAGGAACACCAAUGGCGAAGGCAGCUUUCUGGACUAAUACUGACACUGAGGUACGAAAGCGAGGGUAGCAAACAGGAUUAGAAACCCCAGUAGUCC